rnacentral:lncRNA from 10 species
AGGGGUUUCACCAUGUUAACCAGGAUGGUCUCGAGCUCCUGACCUCAAGUGAUGCACCCACCUCGGCCUCCCAAAGUGCUGGGAUUACAGUGCCCGGCCCAGGCAGGACUAUUUUUAAGACAAUUGAGCAUGAUUUUAGAAGGCUGCACAAUUGACAUUUUGCCUACUUCCACGUUUCGGUACUUUUCCUGAACAAUGUUUCUUCGUUCCCCCUCUCCUAGUAACGGACAUUUACGUUGCUCUGAUUCUCUGCCAUCCCAAGCAGCACCAUGAGGAACAGCGCUAUGCAGGACCUUCUGCGGAUGCACCUGUGCCAGUCUGUCUGGCUGGGGCCUGCACACUCCGAGAAAGGACUGUGCACUCUGAGGAAGGACUGCGCAGUCUGAGGAAGGGCUGAGCACUCUUGUGGAAGUACCGCCCACUCUGAGGAAGGACCGUGCACUCUGAGGAAGGACUGCGCAGUCUGAGGAAAGGCUGCGCACUCUCGUGGAAGUACCGCCCACUCUGAGGAAGGACUGCUAGGUUGUCUCUCUGGAAAGUUUUCUGUUGCCCAUGCGGAGAAUAUUCAAGUUUUGUUUCGGCCUUCCAGAAUUUCCCUCCUGUUUGGGGGGGAUCAUCCUCCACUCCGUUAUACAGCCUCGGAGGCAGACACCACUCGUCAUCGGAUGUCAAACCAAAGCUCCCCCAGGCUUAGCAGGUGUGGGUGCAGGAGGGUGCGGGAGUCAGAUCUCCAUCUAUCUGGUCUCGCCUUGUUUCUAGUCCUUUGCAGGGGUGUUCUUCCAGCAUCCUCCAAUCCAUCCGGGACUGUCCAUCUUGAGUGACACAAAAGAGUGGGGCAGGACAGCCUGGCCGACUGUCCCUCCGAGACCAGACACGGGGUGUGUGUGUGUGUGUGUGUGUGUGUGUGUGUGUGUUGGAGGGGUCCCCAAAGGGGCACAGAAGUCCCGGGAGGCUUUUCAGAAGAGAAGAGAUGGAGCCUGAAUGGGCAAAAGCAGCAGCUGUGCUGUUAGGAGCUGGAGUGAAUACUGUGAGCCCAGACACCUGGGAUGAGAUCCACAGAUGUGGCCCGGUCCCUUACUCUUUUGGUGCCUCAGUUUCCCCAUCUGUACCAUGGGGAUAACAACAGUGCAUGCCUCAUCGGUUGGUUAUGAUGAUAAACAAACUGGAUUUUAAAAAGGUCUGGCCCAGCAGACUCACUCUGUGUUUGCUGUUAUCAGAACCCUGUCCUCAGACCCUGGCCUGACACCACCUCAUACUCCCUCUCAUGCCUCUUAGUCACUUCCUGAAAGUCUGCAGCAGACGACACGGCUUCUCCCAGCCCGUCUUCUUCCCCACACGGUGGGCAUGGUAACGUCCUUAACAUGCACCUGUCAGUGUGAAAGCAGCAGGCUGAGAUCACACACCAAGUUCCCAGUCGGGGUUUCAGCAUGUUAGCCGAGCUGGUCUUGAACUCCUGAGCUCAAGUGAUCCACCCACCCGAGCCUCCUAAAGUGUUGCGAUUACAGAGGCUACAGAUUUCCUCUCUGGAGAGAAGGAACCGGGGUUGCUCGCUGAGCUGACAAGAGGUGGCAUCCUGGAAAGAUGCAGCUGGCCAAAGCCUGCCCUCCAUACGGAGUCCCCCCCUCGGCCAAUGGCUCCAGCUAAAGGUGAGAGAAUUCCUUGCGUGGCAGAAUGGGCCACCCAAGACCUACCAACACUGACACUCAGGACCCCAGUCAAACAGAGUGGCCUUAGCAAGGGAGGUGGGUGCCAUUAUCAUCACUUGCGGAUGUGGAACUCAUGCCCAGAGGGUAUGACCAACCUGUAGGUUCCCAGCCAGGAAGCUGAAGGGCUCAGAUGCGAACCUGACUCAGUGUGGCACUCGGCAGGUCCCUUCCAGGAGCCUCAUCCCUGCCUCCGUAGGAUGGAGGUGGGGACAGCCCUCCUGAGGACACAUUUCCUGCACUGCCUCCCACAGCUGUGCCCAGACUCCCAGAGCCUCUCUCAUGCCAAGAGAGUCUGUGGUGGGAGCCAAGACAGCUGACCCCAGAAGCCCCGGGCACCCCAGACGCUCGGCCCUGGGAGGGUGGCUGUGCCGGACAGACUCCAGACAGAGCUCAGACUCCGGGUCUACACACAGUGACUUUAUUACUCUAUGGAUGCUGGUGAACUGCCCUCCCCAACCAGCUUCACGGGGGCAGGCAUCUCUGUCCAUCCCAUGCC